CAGUUCAAGGUCCCCAACUACUGUAGGUUGCAGCAGCAGGUCAGCUGCACUGCAGAAAUUAAAAUCUAUGUAUGAGGAGCAGGAGACACCCCAACUAAAACAUAGGCGGCGUAUCCUGUUAAAGCUUUCAGAUGCAAAAUGUAAGGAUUUACAAGCUAAAGACGAGCUGUUGGAGCUUCUGGAAGCUAAGGAUGCUGGGGUAGCAUAUGUAAUAGGUCACUCACAUAUUAAGGCGAAAUGGAGUGCACCGUUCUUGAAGAGGCUUUUGAUCAAUAUCUUCUACUCUUUCUUGCGUAAAAACUGCCGGUCCCCUUCUGUCUCCUUGGAUAUUCCUCAUAUUUCUUUAAUUGAGGUGGGCAA
rnacentral:misc_RNA from 1 species